CCUUUGAUGACGACUGGCGCACGGGUGAGUAACGCGUAUCCAACCUUCCCAUAACUACGGGAUAACCCGUUGAAAGACGGCCUAAUACCGUAUGAUAUCGUUUGCUGACAUCAAAUAACGAUUAAAGGUUUAGCGGUUAUGGAUGGGGAUGCGUCUGAUUAGCUUGUUGGCGGGGUAACGGCCCACCAAGGCUACGAUCAGUAGGGGUUCUGAGAGGAAGGUCCCCCCACAUUGGAACUGAGACACGGUCCAAACUCCUACGGGAGGCAGCAGC
rnacentral:rRNA from 1 species